rnacentral:rRNA from 1 species
UACGUAGGGGGCAAGCGUUGUCCGGAAUCAUUGGGCGUAAAGAGCGUGUAGGCGGUCCGGUAAGUCGGCUGUGAAAGUCCAGGGCUCAACCCUGGGAUGCCGGUCGAUACUGCCGGACUAGAGUUCGGAAGAGGCGAGUGGAAUUCCCGGUGUAGCGGUGAAAUGCGCAGAUAUCGGGAGGAACACCUAUGGCGAAGGCAGCUCGCUGGGACGUUACUGACGCUGAGACGCGAAAGCGUGGGGGAGCGAACAGG